AAAAUACCAGAAGGGAAAAAAAUCAGAAGUAUUGAGAGACUUGACAGUAUCUUUGGUUGGGUGCGAAUGAAGACUGAUAAGGAUGCUAGGGAAAUGAUGUUUGGUCGAGACGACAUAAUUUGAUUGUUGUAAUCAGUUAGAAUUAUUUAUGUUUUCAGAUGUUUUGUACUGAUGUUGGUUAUGAAACUCGUUGUAACAAGAACUUAAUGAUAUAUAUUGAUUGAUUGUUAC
rnacentral:lncRNA from 1 species